AGAGAUGCAUUGAAGGGAAAGAGUACGUUUCAGGAAAACCUCCAGAGAGUUGCCGGGUGGUGCAAGGCAGCGGCGGACCGAAACCGAACUGAUCCCUGAGCAGCUUUCCUGAACCCGCGCAUGACAGUAGGGGAAGCCGGCUCCUGACCGUUAUCAAUCAGGGCGGUAUCGAUGGACACGUCAUCCGUACCGGCUAAGGGCACACCAAAUGGUGUGAAGUGGAGUGGUACCGCGCAAGAUUUGAAUCUUUCGUCUCUCAC
rnacentral:ncRNA from 1 species